AGUCCUGAGCCCCUCUCUGGAAUUGGGUCUAUGCUGAUAAAGGACUUCUGACCAUUCUUAUGCACAUGAAAUUUUGAGGAACGCUGUUCUACCAAAGACUGUUGACAUCAGCCAGGAAAACAAAUGGGCGAAGAGCAGAAAGAUGGAUUGCAAGCUGUAAUUUAAUCUCAAGGUCAUUGUUUCUCAAAGUACAUCGCCUGGAGUUUUUGUGGAAAAUGCAGUUCAGUCAACCAAGCUUCAGAAUUCCUAGAUGCAAACUAAGGAUUGAAAAUUAACAUUGUGUGAGUUUCUUGUCAUCGUCAUAGAGUGAGGAUGGCAUGAAAGUUAUAAUCUACACGUUUCUUUCAUUGAAAUCUUUUUUAUAUCCUCUGGAUGUUUAUUGAAUAUCACUAUUUAUUGGGCAUUAUGUUAGACAUAGCAAAUGAGAGGAUCCAGUAUCUUUCAGUUUUCUCUGCUAAGCAAGUACAGUGAAAAAUAAAUUACAGAUU